rnacentral:rRNA from 1 species
AGAGUUUGAUUCUGGCUCAGGACGAACGCUGGCGGCGUGCUUAACACAUGCAAGUCGAACGAUGAAGCCUAGCUUGCUAGGUGGAUUAGUGGCGAACGGGUGAGUAAUACGUGAGUAACCUACCUUUAACUCUGGGAUAAGCCUGGGAAACUGGGUCUAAUACCGGAUACGACCAAUCUCCGCAUGGGGUGUUGGUGGAAAGCGUUAUGUAGUGGUUAUAGAUGGGCUCACGGCCUAUCAGCUUGUUGGUGAGGUAAUGGCUCACCAAGGCGACGACGGGUAGCCGGCCUGAGAGGGUGACCGGCCACACUGGGACUGAGACACGGCCCAGACUCCUACGGGAGGCAGCAGUGGGGAAUAUUGCACAAUGGGCGCAAGCCUGAUGCAGCGACGCCGCGUGAGGGAUGACGGCCUUCGGGUUGUAAACCUCUGUUAGCAGGGAAGAAGAGAAAUUGACGGUACCUGCAGAGAAAGCGCCGGCUAACUACGUGCCAGCAGCCGCGGUAAUACGUAGGGCGCGAGCGUUGUCCGGAAUUAUUGGGCGUAAAGAGCUUGUAGGCGGUUUGUCGCGUCUGCUGUGAAAGGCCGGGGCUUAACUCCGUGUAUUGCAGUGGGUACGGGCAGACUAGAGUGCAGUAGGGGAGACUGGAACUCCUGGUGUAGCGGUGGAAUGCGCAGAUAUCAGGAAGAACACCGAUGGCGAAGGCAGGUCUCUGGGCUGUAACUGACGCUGAGAAGCGAAAGCAUGGGGAGCGAACAGGAUUAGAUACCCUGGUAGUCCAUGCCGUAAACGUUGGGCACUAGGUGUGGGGGACAUUCCACGUUUUCCGCGCCGUAGCUAACGCAUUAAGUGCCCCGCCUGGGGAGUACGGCCGCAAGGCUAAAACUCAAAGAAAUUGACGGGGGC